rnacentral:rRNA from 1 species
AGAGUUUGAUCAUGGCUCAGGAUGAACGCUAGCGGCAGGCUUAACACAUGCAAGUCGAGGGGUAUAGGUUUUCGGACCUAGAGACCGGCGCACGGGUGCGUAACGCGUAUGCAAUCUACCUUUUACAGAGGGAUAGCCCAGAGAAAUUUGGAUUAAUACCUCAUAGUAUUAUUGAAUGGCAUCAUUUAAUAAUUAAAGUCACAACGGUAAAAGAUGAGCAUGCGUCCCAUUAGCUUGUUGGUAAGGUAACGGCUUACCAAGGCUACGAUGGGUAGGGGUCCUGAGAGGGAGAUCCCCCACACUGGUACUGAGACACGGACCAGACUCCUACGGGAGGCAGCAGUGAGGAAUAUUGGUCAAUGGGCGCAAGCCUGAACCAGCCAUGCCGCGUGCAGGAUGAAGCAUCUAUGGUGUGUAAACUGCUUUUGUACGAGAAGAAACACUCCUACGUGUAGGAGCUUGACGGUAUCGUAAGAAUAAGGACCGGCUAACUCCGUGCCAGCAGCCGCGGUAAUACGGAGGGUCCAAGCGUUAUCCGGAAUCAUUGGGUUUAAAGGGUCCGUAGGCGGUUUUGUAAGUCAGUGGUGAAAGCCCAUCGCUCAACGGUGGAACGGCCAUUGAUACUGCAAGACUUGAAUUAUUGGGAAGUAACUAGAAUAUGUAGUGUAGCGGUGAAAUGCUUAGAGAUUACAUGGAAUACCAAUUGCGAAGGCAGGUUACUACCAAUAUAUUGACGCUGAUGGACGAAAGCGUGGGGAGCGAACAGGAUUAGAUACCCUAGUAGUCC